AGAGUUUGAUCCUGGCUCAGGAUGAACGCUGGCGGCGUGCCUAAUACAUGCAAGUCGAACGGAGCAGCAAUGCUUAGUGGCGACCGGGUGCGUAACACGUAGCUGACCUGCCCCUCAGCGGGGGACAACUGUUGGAAACGACAGCUAAUACCGCAUGAUUUUGAGCUUUCCAAAAGGGCUCAAAUAAACUUUCGGGGCUG
rnacentral:rRNA from 1 species